rnacentral:pre_miRNA from 1 species
GGUGGAUAUGGUUCUCGUGACAUGGCUUUUAUCGGCUUUGAUUUCCGAGUGCACAUGACUAGAUCCAUACUCACCAG